AACGAACGCUGGCGGCGGGCUUAACACAUGCAAGUCGAGCGCCCCGCAAGGGGAGCGGCAGACGGGUGAGUAACGCGUGGGAAUCUACCCAUCUCUACGGAAUAACGCAUGGAAACGUGUGCUAAUACCGUAUACGUCCUUCGGGAGCAAGAUUUAUCGGAGAUGGAUGAGCCCGCGUUGGAUUAGCUAGUUGGUGGGGUAAAGGCCUACCAAGGCGACGAUCCAUAGCUGGUCUGAGAGGAUGAUCAGCCACACUGGGACUGAGACACGGCCCAGACUCCUACGGGAGGCAGCAGUGGGGAAUAUUGGACAAUGGGCGCAAGCCUGAUCCAGCCAUGCCGCGUGAGUGGUGAAGGCCCUAGGGUUGUAAAGCUCUUUCACCGGUGAAGAUAAUGACGGUAACCGGAGAAGAAGCCCCGGCUAGCUUCGUGCCAGCAGCCGCCGUAAAAC
rnacentral:rRNA from 1 species